rnacentral:lncRNA from 1 species
UAUAAUGGCCACCUACCCCGCAUUAUUUUACGAAAUUUCACCUAUGGUAAUCUCUCAAUUAGACCACACUUCUGCUAACGUGCUAUGACUUAAAAAGUAAAAAUCACAAAAUCCAAACGAAAAGCCAAACGAAAAGCCAAAAUCAAUCAUCAAAACCAAACUUUGAGUAUUCUUUCAAAUUCAAAGAUUCUAAUCAACUAUUAUUUGUACCUAUAAUUUAAUUCACAGCCGACAAAUUUAAUUUCUAACAAAAAACUAAAAAGCAUGGUGCAUCAAUAUUCGGACUAACCUAACUAACAACCACACCAAUUUAAGAAAGCAUCAUAUUAAUAAAUAAUUUAGUUUAAUUUUUCUUUUUCAAUAUUCAUCUGGGGUGCAUUUAAAUAAAACAUACACAAUCAUCAUUUUCAUUGUACAAAUUACUCUAAAAUAUAUUUUCUAAUAACAAAAGUGAUUUUUAAUCCACUCAUAUGCUAUAAAAAGAAGAUUAUUAGCCCCUUAAUUAAAGCUAAGCAAAACCCUCACAAACCACCAAAAUUAGUACAUAUAUAUAACAUGCAUUUAACUAAAACAUUAGGAGUAGCAAAUUUUUGUACCAAUCUCCAACCAAAAGAUUUAAGUAUAUAUUAAUCACACCAAACAAAUAUCGAAACCAUUUUGAUAAAAGAAAAUCAAUAAACCUAGUUCAUAGAAUUGGAUUUAACUCUUGGACCUAAUCAAGAGAUUUAGCCAAUCAUUGGAUGAAUAACUCAUCAUCAAUGGUGGUUUAUCAACAAAUAAAGUAAAACAAGAACAAUAAAUGAGAGCAAGUAAACUAAGAGCAUGUAAAGUAAAUAGAACAAUAAAUUGAAAGUUAAACUACUUGCAAUAAAUGAUAAGAAGUACUUACAAACUUGAUAAAUAAAUGAAAAGGAGAGAGAUAGAUUCAAGUCAUGAAUGUCACCUCCAACAACUUAUUCAUCCUCUUCUCUCUCUAAAUUAAAACAUAGAUCUACAAAUAAAGAAAGGGCAAAAAUUGAAUUGCUUAAAAUUUUUACAAAUUUGAGAACAAGAGAGUUUAAAUAGGCCCCCAAAAUUCCCUUUUUCUAUCUCUUUCCUUUUUUUUACAAUGCUCUCAUAAUCGUAAUCUUUUUUGUUAUUCCUUAUCGAAAUUUUGAUUAUCUGAAUAAGGGAUGUAAGAGUGACAUUUCCUACUAUGAUCGUCCCACGGAUGAUACUCAAUAUAAUUAGAAUAAUUACAUUAAUAGUUACAUUGAGAGUUUAUUCAUUCUCAAACCCCUAUUAAUACUUACAUUGUAAGUGGUAAUGAUAACUAAAUUUGAAGGUAAAAGUUGAAAAGAACUAUUGAAUCUCGCACUAUCAGUAGUAGAAAAAUGAAUAUGUCUACUUUUGAAAGACUCCUAUCAAUAGUAAAUUUAACUACUGCGAUUGAAAAUGCUAUUGGAUGGCCUCUGAAUUAGACGUUCUACCGGUAGUAAGAAAACUCCUAUUGGUAGGAGUUACUACCGGUAGGAGUCAUGUUGAAAUUGCCACAUGAUGCUCUAUUGGAAUUUAUUCCUUAAUCUGUUCAUGUCAUCACUUUGGGGGUUCUUUUGGUCACCAAAAGUCGGCUUUUUCAUCUUGAUGAUCUUGGGGAGGCCAUAAUAGCUUCUCUAAGCUGAGAUUUCCUACAAAACAGAAAAUAUGACUUGCAAACAAAUACCAAUUAAAGUAAAAAGAGGUUUUGUGGGUGAUUAAAGGCUUUGAGAAAUGUUAUCAAACACUUAGAAUGCAAGAAAAAUAAGCAUCACAUGUACCAUGUAAAACUUAUUGACAUAUGAUCAAAGAUGUGUACAACUUUAAUUAAAACAAAAAAAUUCACCGUUAAUCACUCACAAACAAAUAUUGAAGCUAUUUCGAUAGAAGAAAAUUACUAAACCUAGGUCAUUGGAUGAGAUCUGACUCUUGGACCAAGCCAAGGUGCUUAACCAAGUAUUGAUGAUGAAGAACUCACCAUCAAUGGUGGUUCUACCAACAAUAAAGAUAAAGCAAGAAAAAUAAAUGGAAGCAAGUAAACUAAGAGCAUUGAAAGUAAAUACAAUAAUAAAUUGAAAGCUAAAUUACUUGCAAUUAAUGAUUGAAGUACUUACAAAAUUGAGAAAUAAAUGAAAAGGGGAGAGAGAAAGAUUCAAGUUAUGAAUAUCACCAACACCACCUUCUUUUUCAUCUUCUCUCUAAAACAAAAUCUAUAUUUAAGAAAUGAAAAAUGGAAAAAAUUGGAAGGCCCAAAAUUUUUCUACAAAUCUGAGAAUAAGAGAGCUUAAAUAGGUCUCUAAAAUACCCUAGAACAUUGACCAAAAUCCCCCUGAAAUUUGAGGAUAAAAGCCAAAAAUUAUAGCUUUUGAACUCUGUACAAUUGGUAGUAGAAAAAGCUACUACCGGUUGAAAGUGAAUUUGCCUGCUUCUGAAAGACUCCUACCGAUAGUAGAUUUAACUACUACCAGUUGAAAAUGCUACUAGAUGACCUCUGGAUUAAACGUUCUGUCGUUAGUAGUGAACCUCGGUAGGAGUCAUGUUGAAAUUGCCAUAAGAUGCCACUCCCACUCGCACUCUUCCUCUCAAGACUUAGAUGGCUGCUUCAUUUCCUUCUCACCUUUGCCGUUUUAAUAAUACUCGGUCUGGCUCUCUUUCUCUCUCAACAUCUCCAUCCACAUAUGCAGUACUUGUGGAUUCUCAUUGGUCAUUUAUUUUCUUCUGAUUUGUGUUUAGGGAUUUUCUAAAAAAAAUAUUUGCUAGUAUUAUGGUUCAGUUAUGAUGCAUUUUCUUACAAGUUGGUCUUUAUUUCUCAUUUUUUCUGCCAAUUAUUAUUGUAGUGAUAAAAAUAUGGGAAAAACAACUGACAGUCAGAAUUGCUUGAUAAUGAUCUCAGUAUUGGCCUCGUUAAUCUGCACAAGGGAACAAAUGUCAUAGGCCGGGGUGAGGCCAGUCAAAAACCCUCUGACAUGGAGAUGAGAUCUAUAUGAAUUGGCUAGACAAAGCACAGUAGGGAAAUUAUAUAGCACUAUCUUAGAGAAUGCAGUUACCUUCUUCUAGAGAAUGGUGAGCGGUCUUAUAUAGAUAGAGAUUGGUGAGCGAUCUUAUAUAGAUAGAGAUUUCACAAACAUGUGAUAAGAUCGCGGCGUAAUCAUCGGGCAAUCAUGUAAGAAAGUCGUGACCGAAGAUAUCAAUGUAAUGGGUAGAGACUAUUAUGGGAGGUGGUGUCGCAUUUGUAGGUGGCUAUGGUGAAGGUGGAGUCAAUCACGUCCACCUCGGUAUGGAGAGAUUGACGACAAAUUACCAAAUAACAUGCGUUUGGUGACUUGGAAUGCUGGGAGGAGAACACAGGCGAUAUUAGGCAGCUCAUCAUGCUUAGUGGCGAUCACGAGGGAUAUUAACAAUGUGACUUUUUUGUAGACAAUGCAGUGACAUGUUUUAACUCAGGCUGAACCAUUUUCUUUCGAGCUAAAUUUAGUAGGUGAGAAUUUCACCCCUCAUCAUUGUCCCCUACUCAGGAUGCCGAGGAAGAUUACUUGGCAUUAUGGAGUAGCAAAUUAGGGAAUGACGAUAGAUGAGGUAAGCAUGCAAUGAUGACGUGCUCUACGGGGGCGACACGUGUAGAUGCAUUAAUGAGAAGGGCGCCCCUUCAUCUACUUAUGACCGAAGCACUCUCAGUAUGUGGAGCGUUGUCCACUCACCCGGUCAAACGUUGAACAUCGUGAACACUCUUGGGCGAGCUCAUCAUGAGCAGCGCUUGAAUUUGGUUGGGAUUUGCUUUUAUCCCUCGUUGGUUACCAAGAAACCAAGGAUUUUUCCCAACGAAACACCAAAGAUACACGUUGGAGGGGGUUAGCAUCAUACGAUGCUGGCAAAGGGUGCCAAAUGUCUUUUCUAGGUGGGUGAUGGUCAACAGCUUUGAGGCUUUUUACCAGCAUGUCAUUAAUGUAGACAUCCAUUGUAUCCCCGAUUAGUUCCUUGGACAUCUUGUAGACCAACCUAUGGUAUGUUACUCCUGCAUUUUUCAGUCUGAAGAGCCAUAUAACAAUACAACCCUCUUUCUGUGAUGAAUGAUGUUUUCUCUAUAUCGGGAGAAUGCAUUUUAAUUUGGUGGCAUAUGGAGAAGGCAUCUAUGAAACUCAAGAGUUCAUGUUUUGAUGUCACAUCAACUAUCAGAUCGAUCUUUGGAAGAAGAAAAUUGUCUUUAGAGCAGGCUUUGUUUAAGUCGGUGAAAUCAACACAUACUCUCCAUUUUUUAAUUUUUUUAGGGGCAACGAUAACAUUGGCCAAUCAGUCUGGAUAAUGGGACUCCUUGAUAACGUCGGCUUUGAUGAGCUUGGACACCUUAUCCUCUAUAACCUUUAACCAUUUAGGGGGAAACUUUCUCCUCUUUUUGUGAACCGGAGGGUGGUUAAGGUAAGUAAAAAGCUUGUGAACGGAUCUAUCCCUACAACAUGUUCUUGCGAACAUACGAAUACGUCAUAGUUCUUCUUUAAUAAUUCCACAAAGGCAUCUCAUAGUUCUUCAGCUAACUCUAUUACGAUCAUCACAUGACGGUUUGGAUGGUCAGGAUGUAUUGAGAUUGGAGUCACUUCUUUCAAUGGCAUGGUGUUUUUUGUUUCUCGGGGAUCUAUGAGAGACACAUCCCCUAUCUCGUCCCUUAACUCGCCCAUCUCAGUGUCAUCUAUCUGUAGUUGCUAUUUGGUGCUUGACUUCAUCGCGGUGUAUGGCUUCAUCGCCAUUAUGAAGCACUGCCUUAAAAUUUUUUGAUCGCCCCUAACCUCGCCUAUCCUAGUUUAGGUAGGAAAUUUCAUCAUUAAAUGAUAAGUAGAGGUGAUAGCCCUAAUUUUCCUAAUGUGAGGCAACCUAAUAUUGCAUUAUAGGGCGAAGGACAGUCUACGACAAUGAAAUCUUGCCAUACUAUAGUUUGGUGGGGGCUCCACUCCUAAAGUCAAGGGCAAUUUGACCCUCCGAGGGGCUGUAUUGAU